rnacentral:rRNA from 1 species
UACGAAGGGGGCUAGCGUUGCUCGGAAUUACUGGGCGUAAAGGGCGCGUAGGCGGAUAGUUUAGUCAGAGGUGAAAGCCCAGGGCUCAACCUUGGAAUUGCCUUUGAUACUGGCUAUCUUGAGUUCGGGAGAGGUGAGUGGAAUGCCGAGUGUAGAGGUGAAAUUCGUAGAUAUUCGGAAGAACACCAGUGGCGAAGGCGGCUCACUGGCCCGGUACUGACGCUGAGGUGCGAAAGCUAGGGGAGCAAACAGG